rnacentral:rRNA from 1 species
CUACGGGAUGCAGCAGUGAGGAAUAUUGGACAAUGGUCGAAAGACUGAUCCAGCCAUGCCGCGUGCAGGAUGAAUGCCCUAUGGGUUGUAAACUGCUUUUAUACGGGAAGAACACCACCCACGUGUGGGUGACUGACGGUACCGUAAGAAUAAGGACCGGCUAACUCCGUGCCAGCAGCCGCGGUAAUACGGAGGGUCCAAGCGUUAUCCGGAAUCAUUGGGUUUAAAGGGUCCGUAGGCGGGCUAUUAAGUCAGAGGUGAAAGUUUGCAGCUCAACUGUAAAAUUGCCUUUGAUACUGGUAGUCUUGAGUUAUAGUGAAGUGGUUAGAAUAUGUGGUGUAGCGGUGAAAUGCAUAGAUAUCACAUAGAAUACCAAUUGCGAAGGCAGAUCACUAACUAUAUACUGACGCUGAUGGACGAAAGCGUGGGGAGCGAACGGGAUUAGAUACCCUCGUAGUC